CCAUCUGCAGCUGACCUGCAGACUGCGUCCCUGGGGAGGAUAAAACCUGCUUUUUAAUUCUGCCAUUUAGAGAGGAGAGGAAGAUAAAGAUGGAUAAAACACCAUAAAAAGGUGAGAGAGGUUG